rnacentral:rRNA from 1 species
CCCAGACAGCCAGGAUGUUGGCUUAGAAGCAGCCAUCAUUUAAAGAAAGCGUAAUAGCUCACUGGUCGAGUCGGCCUGCGCGGAAGAUGUAACGGGGCUAAACCAUGCACCGAAGCUGCGGCAGCGACACUCAGGUGUUGUUGGGUAGGGGAGCGUUCUGUAAGCCUGCGAAGGUGGCCUGUGAGGGUUGCUGGAGGUAUCAGAAGUGCGAAUGCUGACAUAAGUAACGAUAAAGCGGGUGAAAAGCCCGCUCGCCGGAAGACCAAGGGUUCCUGUCCAACGUUAAUCGGGGCAGGGUGAGUCGACCCCUAAGGCGAGGCCGAAAGGCGUAGUCGAUGGGAAACGGGUUAAUAUUCCCGUACUUGGUGUUACUGCGAAGGGGGGACGGAGAAGGCUAUGUUGGCCGGGCGACGGUUGUCCCGGUUUAAGCGUGUAGGUGUGUGUUCCAGGUAAAUCCGGUUCACUUUAACACUGAGGCGUGAUGACGAGGCACUACGGUGCUGAAGCAACAAAUGCCCUGCUUCCAGGAAAAGCCUCUAAGCAUCAGGUAACAUCAAAUCGUACCCCAAACCGACACAGGUGGUCAGGUAGAGAAUACCAAGGCGCUUGAGAGAACUCGGGUGAAGGAACUAGGCAAAAUGGUGCCGUAACUUCGGGAGAAGGCACGCUGACAUGUAGGUGAAGUGAUUUACUCAUGGAGCUGAAGUCAGUCGAAGAUACCAGCUGGCUGCAACUGUUUAUUAAAAACACAGCACUGUGCAAACACGAAAGUGGACGUAUACGGUGUGACGCCUGCCCGGUGCCGGAAGGUUAAUUGAUGGGGUCAGCGCAAGCGAAGCUCCUGAUCGAAGCCCCGGUAAACGGCGGCCGUAACUAUAACGGUCCUAAGGUAGCGAAAUUCCUUGUCGGGUAAGUUCCGACCUGCACGAAUGGCGUAAUGAUGGCCAGGCUGUCUCCACCCGAGACUCAGUGAAAUUGAACUCGCUGUGAAGAUGCAGUGUACCCGCGGCAAGACGGAAAGACCCCGUGAACCUUUACUAUAGCUUGACACUGAACAUUGAGCCUUGAUGUGUAGGAUAGGUGGGAGGCUUUGAAGCGUGGACGCCAGUCUGCGUGGAGCCGACCUUGAAAUACCACCCUUUAAUGUUUGAUGUUCUAACGUGGACCCGUGAUCCGGGUUGCGGACAGUGUCUGGUGGGUAGUUUGACUGGGGCGGUCUCCUCCUAAAGAGUAACGGAGGAGCACGAAGGUUGGCUAAUCCUGGUCGGACAUCAGGAGGUUAGUGCAAUGGCAUAAGC